rnacentral:tRNA from 1 species
GGCGCAGUGGCACAGUGGGUUAACGCCCUGGCUUGAAGCGCCAGCAUCCCAUAUGGGCGCCGGUUCGAGUCCUGGCUGCUCCA